rnacentral:snRNA from 1 species
AUCGCUUCUCGGCCUUUUGGCUAAGAUCAAGUGUAGUAAUCUGUUCUUAUCAGUUUAAUAUCUGAUACGUCCCCUAUCUGGGGACCAUAUAUUAAAUGGAUUUUUGGAACAGGGAGAUGGAAGAAGAGCUUGCUCUGUCCACUCCACGCAUCGACCUGGUAUUGCAGUACCUCCAGGACCCGGUGCACCUCUC